rnacentral:rRNA from 1 species
GACGAACGCUGGCGGCGUGCUUAACACAUGCAAGUCGAACGAUGAAGAAAAGAAUCGAAGCUUCGGCAGAAAUUCAUUUCGGAUUAGUGGCAGACGGGUGAGUAACGCGUGAGCAACCUACCUCUUACAAAGGGAUAGCCUCGGGAAACCGGGAUUAAUACCAUAUAACAUUGCGACGAAGCAUUUCGAUGCAAUCAAAGCUACGGCGGUAAGAGAUGGGCUCGCGUCCCAUUAACCGGAUGGUGAGGUAACGGCGCACCAUAGUGACGAUGGGUAACCGGCCUGUGAGGGUGAACGGUCACACUGGAACUGGGACACGGUCCAGACUCCUACAGGAGGCAGCAGUGGGUAAUAUUGCACAAUGGAGUGAGCUCUGAUGCAGCGACGCCGCGUGAGUGAUGAAGUAAUUCGUGUCGUAAAACUCUGUUCUAUGGGAAUAAAAUGACUGUACCAUAGGAGAAAGCUCCGGCUAACUACGUG